GACUGCAGCUCAAAGGUCACAAGCACCAUGGUAGUCUCAUUUUGCUUUGCUGCUCGAUGGACAUUAUGGAUCUGUUGGGAUGCCGGCCCAACAAGUUCUAGAGGAGAGCUUGAGACAAAGCAUUGGAACACAAAGAAAACACCUCGCUGGAGGACUGGAGGUCACAUGUUCCCGACUGAAAAUUCUACGCUUAUCAGGAAGCCUGAAGACGACAGCAGUGGACUUCCAUGAGGAAUUUUAAAGGGUGAAGGGUUACAGCGCCACCUGCAGCUCUGGCAUGCACCUCACAUCCUGUUCGAGUCAACGUUCAAAUACAGAAUCAUACCUUAAAUCUCCAUCUUGUCACUACCACAAAUUUUAAAGUGUGGUCCUUGCCCAGGAUUUCCUCGUUGCAUAAAAUGUCCAACUGUGAGAAAGGGAGGGGAAAAAAAUCAAAUCAUUAAAUACGAAAACUUAAAUAAAAGCUAAUGACAAGGACGCUGUUGUUCAUUCCAACAUGGCGGGGGCUUGGCUCAAACAAGAAAAAUUUAAAUGGGAAAAACAGCUGUAAUUUUAAGAGAAUAAAGUCACAAUAUUUAAAGAAAAACUUUAUUCGCAGAAGAAAUAAAGGACAUUUUCUGUCCAAAAAUAUAUCUAAACAAGAAAAAUUUAAAUGGGGAAAAACAGCUGUAAUUUUAAGAGAAUAAAGUCACAUAAUAUUAUUUUCAUAAUAUUAUUCCCAUAAUAUUUUGACUUCAUUUUAGUAAAUAUAUAGCAUUUUUUACUGCCAUUCUCCAAAUUUUCCAGCAAUUUCAACUUUCUUUUUGUACAUUUUCUUUAUUCCAGUAAUAUUUUGAUUUAAUUCCCCAAACAUUGUCAUUUUUUUCAGCAACCUAAUUUUCCCUCAAAAAAACUUUGUUGUUUGUUUUCAUUAUAUAAUGACAUAUAAUGUCAAUAUUUCAACUCCAUGCUACUGAAAUUACAUUUUUCCUCAUAUUAUGACUCAUAUCAAAUCAAAUCAAAUCAACUUUAUUUGUAUAGCACUUUUCCUGCAAGGAGAUGCAACACAAAGUGCUUUCCAGAAUUAAAACAAUUACCACAAUUAAAAAGGAAAACAAUGAAGAAAAAAGAAAGCCCCUCCUUCCCACCCUCCAUACUAGACCCAUAUCUAAACAAGAAAAAUUUAAAUGGGGAAAAACAGCUGUAAUUUUAAGAGAAUAAAGUCACAAUAUUUAAAGAAAGUAGUUAUUCGCAGAAGAAAUUAAGGACAUUUGAAACAAAAAAAAAUUAAAUGAGAAAAACAGCUGUAAUUUUAAGAGAAUAAAGUCACAAUAUUUAAAGAAAAAAAGUAAGGACAUUUUCUGCGAAUAAAAAAAGAUGCUCAAGCUGCGCCGCCACAGCGCCCCCUGUUGGCUGUAGAGGUCACUCCAAUGCGGUUUGUCUUGAGCAAAAGAAGCCACAAAACCCCCCAAAAAGUCAAGAAGAAAGCCUUGUGAGACUUCUAAGAGGAGAAGACAUGAGAGAAGUGGUCUUGAUCUUCCUGAAGCUGAGCAGGAAGUCGCUCGGCUUUUGAGGCGAAGCUCGUUAUCCUCACCAAAAAGCCGUCAAGUCUCAUGAAAGUACAGUAUUUCUACUUUUCCAAAGACACGUGGAAGUCUUUGUAUAAUCUUCACCAGGUCGUACUGAUGAAGUCGCCGCAUGGACGAAACAGGAAAUGGACACAGCUCGUAAUUGAUGGCUGUGUCUCAAAGUGCGUACUUGCGUGCUUUUGAGCACGUAGUGCACUAAGU